rnacentral:rRNA from 1 species
UACGAAGGGUGCAAACGUUGCUCGGAAUUAUUGGGCGUAAAGCGCACGUAGGCGGCUUGGCAAGUCGGAUGUGAAAUCCCUCGGCUCAACCAAGGAAGUGCAUCCGAAACUGCUGAGCUUGAGUACGAAAGAGGAUCGCGGAAUUCCCGGUGUAGAGGUGAAAUUCGCAGAUAUCGGGAGGAACACCGGUGGCGAAGGCGGUUCUCUGGGCCUUACCUGACGCUGAGGAGCGAAAGCGUGGGGAGCGAACAGG